rnacentral:rRNA from 1 species
GUUGGCGGCCAUACUGCGGGUGAAACACCCGGUCUCAUUCCGAACCCGGAAGUUAAGACCCGCGAGGGCUUAGGUUGCACUGCGCUCUGCGUGGAGCACCUUGCAAGCUGCCAACC